CACGGGUGCGUAACGCGUAUGCAAUCUACCUUAGUACAGGGAAUAGCCCAGAGAAUUUGGAUUAAUGCCCCAUAGUGUUAUCGAAUCGCAUGGUUGAUAACUAAAGUUCCAACGGUAUAAGAUGAGCAUGCGUCCCAUUAGUUAGUUGGUAAGGUAACGCUUACCAAGACAAUGAUGGGUAGGGGUCCUGAGAGGGAGAUCCCCCCACACUGGUACUGAGACACGGACCAGACUCCUACGGGAGGCAGCAGUGAGGAAUAUUGGACAAUGGGCGCAAGCCUGAUCCAGCCAUGCCGCGUGCAGGAUGACGGUCCUAUGGAUUGUAAACUGCUUUUAUACAGGAAGAAACACUACUUCGUGAAGUAGCUUGACGGUACUGUAAGAAUAAGGAUCGGCUAACUCCGUG
rnacentral:rRNA from 1 species